UCACAUCACGUUGAAAAUACCGAUUCCCGUACGACCAAUGAAUUUAAGCAAUAUCGGGCCUGGUCAUUCGCUAGAUGGGUAACCUUUUGGGAAUACCUGGUGCUGUAAG